UUCUGUUUGGACUUGAGUUUCCAUUCUCCGUACGAUAGAGUUGUAGAUAAAAGACAGGUCGGGACUGAUUCCUUAAAACUGAAACCAAACACGACAAACUCCUUACAAAAGAACGUGAACGAGACGAUUGAAAAGGACUUGUAUGCUUUGUGCGUUUCUAAAGACCUGCAUUCCCGAUGUCCGCUUCCAAAGACAACAAGUCCAGUAUAAAGAAAAGUCGGCUUUUAGCUCAACACUUAACAGGCUCAGCUCAUCAGAUGGGAGAUAAAAAAGGUGGGUCGUGGCACUGCAACAUAGUCCUCCUUUCAUCCUGCCGACGACAAACAAAAGGGACUUGACAGACUCUCAAGCUCGGGGGGGCUGGAUGACUACGGAGUUAGGCAGAAACCACCUCGAGUACUGAGACAAACCCGGAACUCAAGGCCUGGCCUUUGUUGUCGCAUGCAUUGUUUGACAAACUUAAGUUUGCGUGCUCCUGGCAGUAGUCUUUCCUUCAAACACUGCAUUGUGCACAAACACAACACGGAAUGCCGCCUCUCAACAUUCAUUAGAUGAAGACAUUCACGUACGUGGAGGAGACUUCUUGACAUCAAAGACCUUCUGGUGGAAAGUUCUCUGGUCAGAUCAAACAAAAAUGGAGCUGUUUGGUCACAAUACCCAGCAAAAUCCCAUAAUGGUGAUGAAAGGAUGGUCCGCGCCUGAGAGCUGCGGCCAACCACCAUGACCCCGAACUCCCUCCCUCUGUUGCUAGAUAUCUCGAAAUAUAAGUUGUAAUAUGUAUCUGUACUUUGCUAUGGAGAUUUUUCCCUAAACCCCGUUUCCAUAUGAGUUGGGAAAUUGCGUUAGAUGUACAUCACCGCCGGCGGCGUUUCUGGAUGUUGUUGAUAAAUGGCUUUCGCUACCGGACUCUAGGGCAGUAGGGGACGCCUUAUCUGGAGUGAUGAAUCACACUUUUCCAUCUGGCAAUCUGGUGGACAAGUCUGGGUUUGGAGGUUGCCAGGAGAACGCUACAUUUCGGACUGCAUUGUGCCAAGUGUGAAAUUUGGUGGAGGAGGAAUUAUAGUGUGGGGUUGUUUUUUUUUUUUUUAAGUUGGCCUUGGCCCCUUAGUUCCAGUGAAAGGAACUACAAACCCCGUUUCCAUAUGAGUUGGGAAAUUGUGUUCGAUGUAAAUAUAAACAGAAUACAAUGAUUUGCAAAUCCUUUUCAACCCAUA